rnacentral:pre_miRNA from 1 species
AGGGGGAGCGCAGGAUCCUGAGCUGUGUCCCCGGCGCCCUGGGAUCCACGGCCUGCGCUGCUGGAAUCACGCUCCUGGGGCACAGCCCCCU